AGUCACACAUUUUGUGACAUCACAAGGCGCUGUUUCUAGGGACCUCAUCACACGAUGGAAAUUCGGCAUCCUAGGAUGUUUCUGCCCCAGUUGAGUCAUGGAGCACCACAAAGCCCAUCACAUGACGUAGCCUCACUUCCGGUGAGGCUCCGUGGACCAACUGGAAUGGCAGUGUAAUAGGAUGCCACACUGCCAACACGGGAGUCUUCCUGUGUUCCAUUUGGAACAAUGAGGCUAGUGCAAGGGGAAGCCGCACAGUAACGCUUCCCCACAUGGGGAGCUGGGCAAUGAGAUUGCCCCACUGUCUUCCAAUUCACCACAGCACAUCAUUACAUCCCUAGGGCAAAUGUACUUGGAAUGAUGCAUCUCUAUGUAACUUUUCAGUGAGCAGCUGUAUGUGGAAGAGAAGGAGAAGGAGAAAGAGAGACAGACAGAUGGGAAGACACUACCUCUCCCACAUACAUAAAUCUGUGUGAGCAAUUUUCCCUGUA